AAGUCGUAACAAGGUUUCCGUAGGUGAACCUGCGGAAGGAUCAUUAUCGUACAAAAUGUGUGAGGCAUGCAAGGGCUGUCGCUGACUUUUUAAUCACAAAAAGUCGUGCACGCCGGAGCGUGUCCUCUCGCAUAAAAUCCAUCUCACCCUUUUGUGCACCACCGCGUGGGCACCCUUUGGGAUCGAACCGAUCCAGGAGGGCGCUUGCGUUUUCACACAAACCCCCUUAUAAAAGUGUAGAAUGACCCCAUUUUUGCGAUAACACGCAAUCAAUACAACUUUCAACAACGGAUCUCUUGGCUCUCGCAUCGAUGAAGAACGCAGCGAAAUGCGAUACGUAAUGUGAAUUGCAGAAUUCAGUGAAUCAUCGAAUCUUUGAACGCACCUUGCGCCCCUUGGUAUUCCGAGGGGCACACCCGUUUGAGUGUCGUGAAAAUCUCAACCUCCUCGGUUUCUUCUGGACGCCGAAGGAGGCUUGGACUUUGGAGGCCUUUGCUGGCGUCUCUCGCCAGCUCCUCUCAAAUGAAUUAGCGGGGUCCUCUUUGCCGAUCCUCGACGUGUGAUAAGAUGUUUCCAUGUCUUGGUUUCUGGCUCUGUCGCCUUUGGGACCCGCUUCUAACCGUCUCAAGUCGAGACAACGUUUGAGCGUGUCUCCCUUCUCGGGAAACACCCUCGAGCCCACGAACCCUUGACCUCAAAUCGGGUGAGACUACCCGCUGAACUUAA
rnacentral:rRNA from 1 species